rnacentral:rRNA from 1 species
UACGGGGGAUGCAAGCGUUAUCUGGAUUUAUUGGGUUUAAAGGGUGCGUAGGCUGUGAGGUAAGUCAGCGGCGAAAUGCCCCCGCUCAACGGGGUGAAGUGCCAUUGAUACUGCCUUGCUGGAAUGCGGAUGCCGUGGGAGGAAUGUGUGGUGUAGCGGUGAAAUGCAUAGAUAUCACACAGAACACCGAUUGCGAAGGCAUCUCACGAAUCCGCGAUUGACGCUGAUGCACGAAAGCGUGGGUAUCAAACAGG